UGUUGCACUCUCCCAGAGAGAGCAUUCUACACUUUCAUUUUUGCACUCCUGCAGGCAGCAAUGUGUGUGUUCAUGUAGGGGAAGAUAGCAGAAGCUCUGACUUCAGCAGAAUCAAGUAGGCAUCUUCCCCAGACUGCUGUUGUGCUGAAGAAUGUGCAUCAAGCAAGAAAAACACCUCUGAGCUACUGCCACCUCCCCUGCAACCCCUCUCAAAGGCUAUGAACUGGAACAGCAUAAAGGGCACCAUUUAACAUAAGAUGUUUCAAAUGCAAAAUGUUGCUUUCUUGGAUGCUCAGUUAUUUUUUGAACAAAUAUGCUCCAAAAGAAAAGGUGCUUUCACAUUUGCUGUUCCAGAACACAGCAGAAGAAACAAACUACAGAGAGGAUGUACUUGGGAAGUCUGUACAGGUGGAACCAACGUUUGUGCUGCAACACAAGGCAACAAAAGACAGCUUAAGACAGAAAGAAUAUGGGCUAUAAGUGGUGUUAUACCACCUCGCUAUCUGAGCACGUGGACUUUCGAGGGCAGACAUCCCCUGUUUUGAAUGUUUUAAUCCCAUAGUCUUCCAUUCUCUGAGAAGGGGGAUUCAGCACCCACUAACUAUAUCUUUUUUUUCCUCAGAGAGCCCAGUUUUAGCCUUUGUGUUUCAUUCGCUGCUGCUCUCAAUUCACUGGGGUGCCAUAGUCAUGAAUACACUGAGAUCUUUAAGUAUUUAUUACUUUGGCAACACCUUUCACAGCCCAUCAGUUUUCAUAAUUAAGUUCAUAGAUCUGCAUUACCUAGCAUAAGUUUUGAUCCAUAUUGUUUGCUGAGUUGGUCAUGAUUUGCUGGCUUUUUAUGAAACAGCAUUUUACUAGUCAAAUUCCUGGACUGUGCUUAUUAAUACAGUAGGCUCAAAUUUAUCAUACUUUAAAAAUCUGUUAUUUUGGACAGGGGGAAAAAAACCCAUCAUUUUGCUUCAUCCUGCAGGAGAACCGAGCCAUCUAUUUUAUUUAACCUUAACGAGGCAGCAGUCU
ensembl:lncRNA